UACGGGGGGGGUAAGCGUUGUUCGGAAUUACUGGGCGUAAAGGGCUCGUAGGCGGCCAACUAAGUCAUACGUGAAAUCCCUCAGCUUAACUGGGGAACUGCGUCUGAUACUGGAUGGCUUGGAUUCGGGAGAGGAAUGCGGAAUUCCAGGUGUAGCGGUGAAAUGCGUAGAUAUCUGGAGGAACACCGGUGGCGAAGGCGGCAUUCUGGACCGUAGCUGACGCUGAGACACGAAAGCGUGGGUAGCAAACAGG
rnacentral:rRNA from 1 species